rnacentral:rRNA from 1 species
UAGGGAAUCUUCCGCAAUGGGCGCAAGCCUGACGGAGCAACGCCGCGUGAGUGAUGAAGGCCUUCGGGUUGUAAAACUCUGUCUUCUGUGAAGAACAAGCCUAUGACGAAAAUGCUUAGGCCCUGACGGUAACAGAGGAGGAAGCCCCGGCUAACUACGUGCCAGCAGCCGCGGUAAUACGUAGGGGGCAAGCGUUGUCCGGAAUCACUGGGCGUAAAGCGCGCGCAGGCGGCUGUCUACGUCCGGGGUGAAAGCCCAGAGCUCAACUCUGGGACUGCCUUGGAUACGGGAUGGCUUGAGGAUCGGAGAGGCAAGGGGAAUUCCACGUGUAGCGGUGAAAUGCGUAGAGAUGUGGAGGAACACCUGUGGCGAAGGCGCCUUGCUGGCCGAUUUCUGACGCUGAGGCGCGAAAGCGUGGGGAGCAAACA